UACGAAGGGGGCUAGCGUUGUUCGGAAUUACUGGGCGUAAAGCGCGCGCAGGCGGUUCUUCAAGUCAGUGGUGAAAGCCCGGAGCUCAACUCCAGAACUGCCUUCGAUACUGGCGAUCUUGAGUCCGGAAGAGGUGAGUGGAACUCCUAGUGUAGAGGUGGAAUUCGUAGAUAUUAGGAAGAACACCAGUGGCGAAGGCGGCUCACUGGUCCGGUACUGACGCUGAGGAGCGAAAGCGUGGGUAGCAAACAGG
rnacentral:rRNA from 1 species